UGCGCUUUUUAAGAAAAAUAUAUACCCAUCAUGUCAAAACAAGAAAAGAAGAGAAAAAUGGCUGUCAGCGUGACAUUUUUUACAGCAUAGCAGAGUGUGGAUUAUCUUGCUAUUGAAUUAGAUGGCAAAACAUUGUGAUUAUUAUACAGUGACAGUAUACCUAUGCUGAAAGAAUGCACUGUAUAUGGACAUUACUGAACUAAGUACUCAUAACAGAAUUUCCAACUCACAAGAAAACAAUGGCCUGAAGUCUUCCAGGAAGAAGGCAAGAGGAGUCAGACAGCAAUGCUACCACAGAAGGAGAGGGACAAAGAAAUUUGACGAUGCUACCCCAAUAACUUUAAGUGUAGAGGAAAGGGGCCAUCAACUAAAGACUGUAGGUGAUCCCCAGACACUGGAAAAGUCAAGGAAAUGGAUUGUCCACCACAGAGACUCCAGGAAAAAAAACAAAAAACAAAAAAACAGCAUUUGUUAACAUCUUGACUUUAGCCUAAUAAAACUGAUUUUGCACAUCCCCAGCUAUUAGAAUAAAUUUUGCUUUUUUAAGCCAUUAAGUUUGUGAUAAUUUGUAACUACAGCAAUAGAAAAUGAAUACAGUUUUCUAAAAUUCUGUUUAGAAUUGUUUUAUCUGUUUAUGAGGGAUAUUAGGCAGAAGAUACAAAAUCAAGGCUGGUUCCAUAUUCAAACAUCAAUCAAUGUAAGACACCAUGUAAACAGGCUAAAGAGAAAUAUCACAUGAUCAUAAAAUUUUACAAAAACAUAUGAAAAACUUCAAUACCCAUGCACGAGAAAAGAAGAAACUCAACAUUAAGAACUUUCUCAAUUUGAUGGGAUUGCAAAAUGCCUAUGGCUAACAUUAUACUUAAUGAUGGAAGAUUGAACACUUUCCCCUAAGAUCAGGAACAAGGCAAGGAUGUCUACUCUCAUCACUGUUAUUCAACAAAAUAUUGAAAAUCCUGGCCAGCAUGGUAAGGUAAGAAAAGGGAAUAAAAGGCCUACAUAUUGGAAAGGAAGAAGUAAAGCUAUCUCUUACAUAAAUAAUUCCAUACACGAAUAAACGAACCUCAGAAUUAAUAAGUGACUUCUCAAGAUACAAGAUCAACAUAGAAAAAUUAAUUGUAUGUCUAUAUACUAGUGAACUAGUAAUACAUGUGUGGAAACCAUAAUUUAAAAUACAAUUCACAAUUCCUCAAAAAGAAGAAAAAAGAAAUACUGAGGUAUAAAUCUAACAAAGCAUGUCUAAGACUUGUAUACUGAAAACUACAAACACUGAUGAAAGAAGAUUAAAUAAAUGGGGAGACAUGCUGAGAGCAUGAAUUGGGAUACUCAAUACAGCAAAGAUGCCAGUUGUCUCCAAAUUGAUAUAUGGGUUUAAUACAAUUCCCACAAACAUCACAGCAAGAUAUUUUGAAAAUAGAGACAAGAGUCUUCUAAAAAAUUGUAUGGAAAGGCAAAGGAAGAAGAGUAGCUACAAAGAUUUAAGGAAAAAUAAAGUGGGGGAAAUCACUCUACCCAAUUCUAAGAUGUAUUUUAUAGCUACAUUAAAAGUGUGGUAUUGGCAGAGGAACAGACACCUUUUACCACCUGACCCUAAUUAAAGCACUUUCAGCAUA